CUUGUACUUUUGGUCGACAGGUCAACUCACGGACUCGUUGAUGGUAAAUUCUUUCUCAGAGGUGCCCGGGGAAAUCACUUUGGGCUUCAUGAAGUCCUUGAAGCUGCUGGACCUCUGCAGGCAGUGGGCGUGCCCCAGUGGACCGUCCUGGUGACGUCAGUGGUGCCGUCUCUGAAAGUGUGCAGACGAGUGAUGACAUGGAUCUACAUUUAGGAGGUUGUGGAGGUCCUCAGUGUGUUGUGACUCACAGAUAUUGACCACCAGAGUCCACUAAGUACAUCUCAUCUGCUGUCAGCUUCCUGUUUGUUUCCACUGUGGGGCUGCAGCGUGCAGAAACAGAUGAUAUGACGACAUCUCGUACAUUAAAGUAUAUAUCUUACUACUGCACAA